AUUCAGCUGACGAAUCUUAAAUCAGACGAAACAUGCGUCCUGGAU
rnacentral:hammerhead_ribozyme from 1 species